UGGCCAGACUCCUACGGGAGGCAGCAGUGAGGAAUAUUGGUCAAUGGCCGUAAGGCUGAACCAGCCAAGUAGCGUGAGGGAAGACUGCCCUAUGGGUUGUAAACCUCUUUUAUGCGGGGAUAAAGGUGUCCACGUGUGGAUGUUUGCAGGUACCGCAUGAAUAAGGACCGGCUAAUUCCGUGCCAGCAGCCGCGGUAAUACGGAAGGUCCGGGCGUUAUCCGGAUUUAUUGGGUUUAGAGGGUGCGUAGGCGGACGCUUAAGUCAGCGGUAAAAUUGCGGGGCUCAACCUCGUCGAGCCGUUGAAACUGGGUGCCUUGAGUGGGCGAGAAGUACGCGGAAUGCGUGGUGUAGCGGUGAAAUGCAUAGAUAUCACGCAGAACUCCGAUUGCGAAGGCAGCGUACCGGCGCCCAACUGACGCUGAAGCACGAAGGCGUGGGUAUCGAACAGGAUUAGAUACCCUAGUAC
rnacentral:rRNA from 1 species